rnacentral:rRNA from 1 species
UUCCGGUUGAUCCUGCCAGAGGCCACUGCUAUCGGAGUUCGAUUAAGCCAUGCGAGUCGAGAGGGGAAAGCCCUCGGCAUACUGCUCAGUAACAUGUGGAUAACCUGCCCUGCGGUGGAAAUAACCCCGGGAAACUGGGGAUAAUGUCCCAUAGACUACGGAUACUGGAAUGUUCUGUAGUUCAAAGAUUUAUCGCCACAGGAUGGGUCUGCGGCCGAUUAGGUAGUUGUUGGGGUAACGGCCCAACAAGCCUUUGAUCGGUACGGGUUGUGGGAGCAAGAGCCCGGAGAUGGAUUCUGAGACACGAAUCCAGGCCCUACGGGGCGCAGCAGGCGCGAAAACUUUACAAUGCGGGAAACCGUGAUAAGGGAACUCCGAGUGUCCGUAAAUGCGGACUGUCCGUAUGUUUAAAAAGCAUGCGAAGAAAGGGCCGGGCAAGACCGGUGCCAGCCGCCGCGGUAAUACCGGCGGCUCGAGUGGUGGCCACUAUUAUUGGGCUUAAAGCGUUCGUAGCUGGGUUGUUAAGUUUCUUGGGAAAUCUACCGGCUUAACCGAUAGGCGUCCAAGGGAUACUGGCAAUCUAGGGACCGGGAGAGGUGAGGGGUACUUCAGGGGUAGGAGUGAAAUCCUGUAAUCCUUGGGGGACCACCUGUGGCGAAGGCGCCUCACCAGAACGGCUCCGACAGUGAGGGACGAAAGCUGGGGGAGCAAACCGGAUUAGAUACCCGGGUAGUCCCAGCCGUAAACGAUGCGCGUUAGGUGUAUCGAUGACCACGAGUCAUCGAGGUGCCGAAGGGAAACCGUGAAACGCGCCGCCUGGGAAGUACGGUCGCAAGGCUGAAACUUAAAGGAAUUGGCGGG